rnacentral:rRNA from 1 species
GCCAACAGCCAUGUCACCCUGCAACUCACAACUGGCAGCCCACUGAAGCUCAGCAGGUGGGAGCCUGGUCAGUACCUGGAUGGGAGACCUCCUGGGAAAAACUAAGGCUGCUGCUGGAA